UACGGGGGGAGCAAGCGUUGUUCGGAUUUACUGGGCGUAAAGGGCGCGUAGGCGGCCACCGCAAGUCAAUUGUGAAAUCUCCGGGCUCAACCCGGAACGGUCAACUGAUACUGCGGGGCUAGAGUGCAGAAGGGGCAACUGGAAUUCUCGGUGUAGCGGUGAAAUGCGUAGAUAUCAGGAGGAACACCGAUGGCGAAGGCAGGUCUCUGGGCUGACACUGACGCUCAUGCACGAAAGCGUGGGGAGCAAACAGG
rnacentral:rRNA from 1 species